rnacentral:misc_RNA from 1 species
AGCAGCCGCGGUAAUUCCAGCUCCAAUAGCGUAUAUUAAAGUUGUUGCAGUUAAAAAGCUCGUAGUUGAAUUUCGGGAUCAAUGCGUCGGUCGUGCUUUCGGGUACGUACUGGUGUCAUUGGUUUCUCCUUUCUGACGAGCCGUGAUGUCAUUAAUUUGGUGUUACGGGUAGUUAGGACU